rnacentral:rRNA from 1 species
CCUACGGGUGGCAGCAGUCGGGAAUUUUGGGCAAUGGGGGCAACCCUGACCCAGCAACGCCGCGUGAGCGAUGAAGGCCUUCGGGUCGUAAAGCUCUGUCGGGAGGGAAGAAGGCUCUCGGGGUGAAUAAUCCCGGGGGAUUGACGGUACCUCCAAAGGAAGCGCCGGCUAACUCCGUGCCAGCAGCCGCGGUAAUACGGAGGGCGCAAGCGUUGUAGCGAAUCACUGGGCGUUAGGCGCGUGUAGGUGAAAGCCCGGGGCCUAGCCCCGGAACUGCACUCGAAACUGCCUCGCUAGAGUCUCGGAGAGGGUGGUGGAAUUCCCGGUGUAGUGGUGAAAUACGUAGAUAUCGGGAGGAACACCAGCGGCGAAGGCGGCCACCUGGACGAUGACUGACGCUGAGACGCGAAAGCGUGGGGAGCAAACAGGAUUAGAUACCCCGGUAGUC